GAUGAACGCUGGCGGCGUGCCUAAUACAUGCCAGUCGAGCGAACGGACGAGAAGCUUGCUUCUCUGAUGUUAGCGGCGGACGGGUGAGUAACACGUGGAUAACCUACCUAUAAGACUGGGAUAACUUCGGGAAACCGGAGCUAAUACCGGUUGAUAUUUUGAACCGCAUGGUUCAAAAGUGAAAGACGGUCUUGCUGUCGCUUAUAGAUGGAUCCGCGCUGCAUUAGCUAGUUGGUAAGGUAACGGCUUACCAAGGCAACGAUGCAUAGCCGACCUGAGAGGGUGAUCGGCCACACUGGAACUGAGACACGGUCCAGACUCCUACGGGAGGCAGCAGUAGGGAAUCUUCCGCAAUGGGCGAAAGCCUGACGGAGCAACGCCGCGUGAGUGAUGAAGGUCUUCGGAUCGUAAAACUCUGUUAUUAGGGAAGAACAUAUGUGUAAGUAACUGUGCGCAUCUUGACGGUACCUAAUCAGAAAGCCACGGCUAACUACGUG
rnacentral:rRNA from 1 species